GACGAACGCUGGCGGCGUGCUUAACACAUGCAAGUCGAACGGAAAGGCCCUGCUUUUGUGGGGUGCUCGAGUGGCGAACGGGUGAGUAACACGUGAGUAACCUGCCCUUGACUUUGGGAUAACUUCAGGAAACUGGGGCUAAUACCGGAUAGGAGCUCCUGCUGCAUGGUGGGGGUUGGAAAGUUUCGGCGGGUGGGGAUGGACUCGCGGCUUAUGAGCUUGUUGGUGGGGUAGUGGCUUACCCAGGCUUUGACUGGUAGCCGGCCUGAGAGGGUGAACGGCCACAUUGGGACUGAGAGACGGACCAGACUGGUACGGGAGGCAGCAGUGGGGAGUAUUGCACAAUGGGCGGGAGCCUGAGGCAGCAACGCCGCGGGCGGGAUGACGGCCUUCUGGUUGAAAACCGCUUUCGCCUGUGACGAAGCGUGAGUGACGGUAAUGAGUAAAGAAGCACCGGCUAACUACGUG
rnacentral:rRNA from 1 species